UUCCGGUUGAUCCUGCCGGGGGUCACUGCUAUUGGGGUUCGAUUAAGCCAUGCGAGUCGACUGCAGGCAGGGCAGACGGCUCAGUAACACGUGGGUAAUCUACCCUCGGGUCUGGGAUAACCCCGGAAAACUGGGGAUAAUACCGGAUAGAUGGAGAGGUCUGGAAAGAUUUUCCGUCCAAAGCCCCGCCCGAGGAUGAGCUUGCGGUCGAUUAGGCUGUUGGCGGUGUUAAGGACCACCAAACCUGAGAUCGAUAUGGGCAGUGAGAGCUGGAGCCCGGAGAUGGGCACUGAGACAAGGGCCCAGGCCCUACGGGGCGCAGCAGUCGCGAAAACUUUGCAAUACACGAAAGUGUGACAGGGCUAUCCCGAGUGCCAUCCGCUGAGGAAGGCUUUUACCCAGUCUAGAAAGCUGGGAGAAUAAGGAGAGGGCAAGUCUGGUGUCAGCCGCCGCGGUAAUACCAGCUCUCCGAGUGGUGUGGAUGUUUAUUGGGCCUAAAGCAUCCGUAGCUGGCCAGGUUAGUCCCCUGUUAAACCCACCGAAUUAAUCGUUGGAUUGCGGGGGAUACUGCCAGGCUAGGGGACGAGAGAGGCAGACGGUAUUUUCGGGGUAGGGGUGAAAUCCUAUAAUCCCGGGAAGACCACCAGUGGCGAAGGCUGUCUGCUAGAACGCGCCCGACGGUGAGGGAUGAAAGCUGGGGGAGCGAACCGGAUUAGAUACCCGGGUAGUCCCAGCUGUAAACGAUGCAGGCUAGGUGUUUGGGCGGCCACGUGCCGCUCUAGUGCCGCAGGGAAGCUGUUAAGCCUGCCGCCUGGGGAGUACGGUCGCAAGAUUGAAACUUAAAGGAAUUGGCGGGGGAGCACCACAAGGGGUGAAGCUUGCGGUUUAAUUGGAUUCAACGCCGGA
rnacentral:rRNA from 1 species